rnacentral:rRNA from 1 species
GAUAAACGCUGGCGGCGCACAUAAGACAUGCAAGUCGAACGGACUCAACCAUUAGUUUACUAUUGGAGCGGUUAGUGGCGGACUGGUGAGUAACACGUAAGCAACCUGCCUAUCAGAGGGGAACAACAGUUAGAAAUGACUGCUAAUACCGCAUAUGCCAUGAAUAUCACAUGAUAAAAAUGGGAAAGGAGAAAUCCGCUAAUAGAUGGGCUCGCGUCUGAUUAGAUAGUUGGUGGGGUAACGGCCUACCAAGUCAACGAUCAGUAGCCGGACUGAGAGGUUGAACGGCCACAUUGGGACUGAGAUACGGCCCAG